AAAAAAAAAAUUCUUUUGAACGGCACAAGAACCAAAUAUUCAUGUGUCCAUUAACAUAAACGGCAAAUUUGCAAAUCAAGGAUACCUGUCACUAGUUCUAAAGACAGCACCAGCAUUUUCCAAAAGGAUCUUCAACAACUCCAAGGCCACUAUCUUCCCUCUCAUCAACUGGGGAUCAGCCAAGGCCUCUUUAGGAGGUGUUUUCAUUGACAACUUGCAAAGAGC
rnacentral:misc_RNA from 1 species